rnacentral:rRNA from 1 species
GCUGGUGGCCAUACGGGCGGGGCCACACCCGUUCCCAUUCCGAACACGGUCGUUAAGCCCGCCCGGCCGAUGAUACUGCCUCAGCGGGAAAGUAGGUCACCGCCAGCA